CAAUAGCGUAUAUUAAAGUUGUUGCAGUUAAAAAGCUCGUAGUUGGAUUUCUGGUUGAAGCGACCGGUCGGGCGUUGAUUCGUCUGCACUGGAGUCGGUUUUGGCCAUCCUCUAGGAAAGUGCGUCUGGUAUUAAGUUAUCGGGCGUAUGAUCCUGGUCUUUUACUGUGAAAAAAUUAGAGUGUUUAAAGCAGGCCUUCGCCUUGAAUACAUUAGCAUGGAAUAAUAAGAUAGGACUUUGGUCUAUUUUGUUGGUUUGCAGACCGAAGUAAUGAUUAAUAGGGAUAGUUGGGGGUAUUUAUAUUCCGAUGUCAGAGGUGAAAUUCUUAGAUUUUCGGAAGAUAAACUUAUGCGAAAGCACUUACCAAGGAUGUUUUCAUUA
rnacentral:rRNA from 1 species